rnacentral:rRNA from 1 species
GAUGAACGCUGGCGGCGUGCCUAAUACAUGCAAGUCGAGCGAACAGAUGCGGAGCUUGCUCCUCUGACGUUAGCGGCGCGCGGGUGAGAAACACGUGGAUCCCCUCCCUGUCAGACUGGGAUCUCUUCGGGAAACCGGCGCUAAUACCGGAUAAUAUCUUGCACCGCGUGGUUCAAUAGUGAAUGACGGUUUUGCUGUCUCUUCUCGAUGGAUCUGGGCGGCAUGAGCUAGUUGGUACGGUAACAGCUUUCGAAGGCGACGAUGCGUAGCCGACGUGAGGGAGGGGUAGGCGACACGGGAACGGAGACACGGUCCAUGCGCCUACGAGAGGCAGCAGUAGGGAAUCUGCCGCAAUGGUCGAAAGCCUGACGGAGCAGCGCCGCGUGAGUGAUGAAGGUCUUCGGAUCGUAAUACUCUGUUAUUAGGUAAGAACAAAUGUGGAAGUAACUAUGCACGUCUUGACGGUACCUAAUCAGAAAGCCACGGCCAACUACGUG